UAUCCCAUGCUCUCAAUCAGAUUAAAGUAUAAAACUUUAAAGGAUUCCCCCUAUAAAAAUACCCCCACUCCAUAACAUUAAUAAAGUAAUGUUACUACCUACUCCUCUAUCUGCACCAAUCACCCUUCUCUUUCUCUUCCAUUUUGAAGCUUUUCUGUAAAAAUGGCGGACACUGCUCUUGACCUAUUAUGCUGGUUCCGUUGGUAGCUAUUUCUUAAUGUCUCUUAAAAUAGACCAAUUCAAUUUAGAAAAUCCUUUUUUUUUAUUGAAAUUUUUUUUCAUUCUCCACUUACAUUGCUCCAAUCAAUUUUUUUUUCUAUCUCUUUCUUAUUUUACCAAUUGUGUAUUUAAAACCCGUAACUCUUCAAAUAUUGUACCCAAACCUUGGCAUAGGUUUUUAUUUUAAACUUAAUAUGGAAGUCAAGGCCGGCUUGGGGUCUUCUUCUUCAACAUCAAAGCCAAGAGCUCAUACUAGAAGAAGGGGCAUGAGGCCACAGGAGCUGUAUAAUGUUUUGCUUCCAAACUAGGAAAAGAUUCAACAACUUUCAAAAUUGUUUAAGAUUAUGCUCAAGCGCGUGAUGUAUGGCUCAAACCUACCGAUAAUUUUAGAUGGUAGUCGCAGUAAUAGUACUAGUAUUUAUUUUUUCGCCUAAAUAUAUAUGGUUCGGGUUUUCUUUACUUGGUUCUUUCCCGAAUCUUAUUGUCGAACCAAGUAUAUACAGUUCGAGAAAGCUUCUUUCCCGGACUGUACUAGUCGAACUUAUCUUGUAAUUGUCGUCAUUUAUCUAUUGGAUGGUUCGAGUUUUCUUUAAUUGGUUCUUUCCCGAACCUUAAUGUCGAACCAUGGUUCGACAACAAGGUUCGGAGCAUGGUUUGACAAUAAGGUUCAGGAAAGAACCAAGUAAAGAAAACCCGAACCAUCCAAUAGAUAAAUGGCGACAAUUACAAGAUAAGUUCGACUAGUACAAUCCCGAAAAGAAGCUUUCCCGAACUUAUCUUGUAAUUGUCGUCGUUUCUCUAUUGGAUCAGAUCAAUUUGUUUUCUUGUAUUUGUACUAUUUCAUUUCCUUUUUUUAGUAAAAACUUUAUCAUCUCUCA